CUCAGGGCAUAACUGCAAUGAUGGACAGACAGACAAGAUGUCAAACCUUGCAUGAAAGAGUUGGUUUAUUGUAGUCAUUCAUCAUACAUCCACAUCAGCCAAGGGAGACUCCCCAUCUGCUCCUUGCCUAGCCUGUCAAUCUCUCAGGAUAUGACCUUAGCUGCAAGGAAGGAGACAGGAGAAAUUCUGCCAUCACCAGAACCCCAGUUGACCUGAAUGUCUAGAGAGAAAAGUCAGAGGCAAAGCACUCAGUGGAAAUGGCUGUCAGCAGCCUGGAAAAGGAAAUUUAGGUGCCGAGGUCUGACACAAACCAGAGAAUCAGCAGCUUUGCAAGUUCAGCAGGGGUGCUGGGGCUGUGGACAUGUGGCAUUCUGUGACAGAGAGUGUCACUAAAUUUCUCUGAGGAGCUUACAAGAGAUUAGAGACUUGUCAGAAAAUGGGGAAUGUUUUAAGCCAAAUAAAAGGGCUUAGAAAGUAGAUGGACAUGUAUAAUUAAAAGAAACAAAGAUGCUUUGAAAUCAAUUUAAUGAGCCACAUUUUGG
rnacentral:lncRNA from 1 species